rnacentral:rRNA from 1 species
AUGGUGUGCAGCAUGUGUCGCGCCCUUUUGCUCCUUGGCCUCUUCCUGAUCCUGACGCCGCUGGUGUGUGGGUACACCGACGGCGGGUUCAGCGUGGAGCUCAUCCACCGGGACUCCCCCAGGUCGCCGUUCCACGACCCGUCGCUCACCCCGCACGGCCGCGUGCUUGCCGCUGUGCGGCGCUCGUACGCCGGCUCAGGCUCUCCUGACCCUGACGGCGCGGUGUCGGAGCUGCCGAAUUCGAAGCGGUCCCCCGUCAUCGUCGACUCCGGGUCGAUGCUGACGUCCCUCGACGGGGAGCUGCUGGACCCCAUCGUGGAGGCGCUCGCCCGGAGCAUCAAGCUCCCGCGCAAGCAGUCGCCCAACCCGGAGCUGUUUUCGGUGUGCUAUGAGGCGGACGGCAUGAAGGCGCUGGAGAAGGUUUUCCCGGACGUCACCUUGGAGCUGGGCGGGGGCGCCUUGGUCACGCUCAAGGCAGAGAACGUGUUCAUGGACCUUCUGCUACAGACCGUGUGCUUGGCCAUCGUGCCGGUGAAGUAUGAGGGUUCGGUUCCGACGAUCGGCAGCGUCAUGCAGCACAACAUGCAUGUCGGCUACGACCUCGACAAGCGCACCAUCACUUUCGCCCCUGCCGACUGCGCCACCUCUUACCCUUCUCCUCCCACAUCUCUUGUGUAG